GCGAGAUCUCAGAUCCGCAGUCUUCGGCACUGCUCACUUCCGCUUCCGCAAAUAGGCACUUCCGCCCGUGCGUGGCGAGGUGACAAGGCAACUGCUGCUAUGUCCUGAUGACACUUGUCAGCCCAGAAACCAAACCGUCCAACAUGUUUUGGGUGGGUAUUUGUCAACUUGACACGAGCUAGAGUUAUCUGGAAAGAAAAACCUCAACUGAGAAAAUACUGCCAUCAGAUCGCCUGUAGACCAUGCUGUAGGAUAUUUUCUUGAUCAAUGAUUCCAUGUGGGAGGACCCAGCCUACUGGGGGCAGUGCCACUCCUGGUCAGAGAGUCUUCAGUUGUUCGAAUCUGAGCAAGCCACAGAAAACAAGCCAGUAAGUAGCAUUCCUCCAUGGCUUCUGAUUCUUUUCCUGCCUCCAGACUCCUGCCUUGGCUUCUUCCCUCAGUGGACUGUGACCCAGGAUAUAGAUGCUGAAUAAAUGCCUUUCCUCUCCAA